UACGUAGGGGGCAAGCGUUGUCCGGAUUUAUUGGGCGUAAAGAGCGUGUAGGCGGCCAGACAGGUCCGCUGUGAAAACUCGAGGCUCAACCUCGAGAUGUCGGUGGAAACCGUCUGGCUAGAGUCCGGAAGAGGAGAGUGGAAUUCCCGGUGUAGCGGUGAAAUGCGUAGAUAUCAUUUGGAACGCCAAUGGUGAAAACAGGUAGCUGGGAGUGUGCUGACGCUGAGACACGAAAGCCAGGGGAGCGAACGGG
rnacentral:rRNA from 1 species